AUUGAACGCUGGCGGCAGGCCUAACACAUGCAAGUCGGACGGUAGCACAGAGAGCUUGCUCUCGGGUGACGAGUGGCGGACGGGUGAGUAAUGUCUGGGGAUCUGCCCGAUAGAGGGGGAUAACCACUGGAAACGGUGGCUAAUACCGCAUAACGUCGCAAGACCAAAGAGGGGGACCUUCGGGCCUCUCACUAUCGGAUGAACCCAGAUGGGAUUAGCUAGUGGGCGGGGUAAUGGCCCACCUAGGCGACGAUCCCUAGCUGGUCUGAGAGGAGGACCAGCCACACUGGAACUGAGACACGGUCCAGACUCCUACGGGAGGCAGCAGUGGGGAAUAUUGCACAAUGGGCGCAAGCCUGAUGCAGCCAUGCCGCGUGUAUGAAGAAGGCCUUCGGGUUGUAAAGUACUUUCAGCGGGGAGGAAGGCGAUGCGGUUAAUAACCGUGUCGAUUGACGUUACCCGCAGAAGAAGCACCGGCUAACACCGUGCCAGCCGCCGCCGUAA
rnacentral:rRNA from 1 species